rnacentral:rRNA from 1 species
CAGUAGCCACGGUAACACAGAGGGUGCAAGCGUUAAUCGGAAUUACUGGGCGUAAAGCGCGCGUAGGUGGUUAGUUAAGUUGGAUGUGAAAUCCCCGGGCUCAACCUGGGAACUGCAUUCAAAACUGACUGACUAGAGUAUGGUAGAGGGUGGUGGAAUUUCCUGUGUAGCGGUGAAAUGCGUAGAUAUAGGAAGGAACACCAGUGGCGAAGGCGACCACCUGGACUGAUACUGACACUGAGGUGCGAAAGCGUGGGGAGCAAACAGGAUUAGAUACCCCAGUAGUCCCUGUCUCUUAUAC